GAAGAAUCUCUUUAUGACCAUUUAAGUAUACCUCUGCUGAGUAAUUUAUCGCACGAAAAUUGAGACUUACAUGCUGAUUUUCUGACAGCUUGCACUCGAAGCUUUUGAAAAACCAAAAUGUGUAGUACUCCCUCCCAGAAUCAUAAAUAUCUAUUAUUCCUUCAUUAUUCAACCCAUAGAAAGGAUCUGGCACCAGCUUAUUCUUCAACAAGGUUCCUAAAACAGUUCCGGGAACUACUGCCUCGAUCCACGGGGCGGAGGUGCCGGAAGGGGGGUGGGUGGUGGUGAGCUGAGCACCGGUGAGCUCCAAUUCCGUCGAUCUCGCCGCCAG
rnacentral:misc_RNA from 1 species